UGGGGAAUCUUGCACAAUGGAGGCAACUCUGAUGCAGCGACGCCGCGUGAGCGAUGAAGCCCUUCGGGGUGUAAAGCUCUUUCGGCAGGGACGAUAAUGACGGUACCUGAAGAAGAAGCUGCGGCUAACUACGUGCCAGCAGCCGCGGUAAUACGUAGGCAGCGAGCGUUGUUCGGAAUUACUGGGCGUAAAGAGUGUGUAGGCGGGUGCUCUAAGUUCGGUGUGAAAUCUCCUGGCUCAACUGGGAGGGUGCGCCGGAAACUGGAGUGCUUGAGCGUGGGAGAGGAAAGCGGAAUUCCUGGUGUAGCGGUGAAAUGCGUAGAUAUCAGGAGGAACACCUGUGGUGUAGACGGCUUUCUGGACCAUAGCUGACGCUGAGACACGAAAGCGUGGGUAGCAAACAGGAUUAGAUACCCUGGUAGUCCACGCCCUAAACGAUGCAUACUUGGUGUCGGCCAUUCAGUUGGUCGGUGCCGGAGCUAACGCGUUAAGUA
rnacentral:rRNA from 1 species